rnacentral:rRNA from 1 species
AUUGAACGCUGGCGGCAGGCCUAACACAUGCAGGUCGAACGGUAACAGGAAGAAGCUUGCUUCUUUGCUGACGAGUGGCGGACGGGUGAGUAAUGUCUGGGAAACUGCCUGAUGGAGGGGGAUAACUACUGGAAACGGUAGCUAAUACCGCAUAACGUCGCAAGACCAAAAAGGGGGACCUUCGGGCCUCUUGCCAUCGGAUGUGCCCAGAUGGGAUUAGCUAGUAGGUGGGGUAACGGCUCACCUAGGCGACGAUCCCUAGCUGGUCUGAGAGGAUGACCAGCCACACUGGAACUGAGACACGGUCCAGACUCCUACGGGAGGCAGCAGUGGGGAAUAUUGCACAAUGGGCGCAAGCCUGAUGCAGCCAUGCCGCGUGUAUGAAGAAGGCCUUCGGGUUGUAAAGUACUUUCAGCGGGGAGGAAGGGAGUAAAGUUAAUACCUUUGCUCAUUGACGUUACCCGCAGAAGAAGCACCGGCUAACUCCGUG